CCCGCUGAACUUAAGCAUAUCAAUAAGCGGAGGAAAAGAAACUAACAAGGAUUCCCCUAGCAGCUGCGAGAGACGCGGGAAGAGCUCAAAUUUUGCAUCUGGCGGUCUCUGGCCGUCCAAAUUGAAAUCUAGCAGAAGCACGUUGCGUGCUGGACCGUGGAUGUCUCUCCUGGAAGGGAGCGGAGUAGAGGGCGAGACCCCCGUCUUUGACACGGACUACCAGUGCUAUGGGGCGCGCUCUCGGCGAGUGGAGUUGUCUGGGAAUCCAGCUCAAAACGGGUGGUACAUUCCAUCUAAUGCUAAAUACCGGCGAGAGACCGAUAGCGAACCAGUACCGUGAGGGAAAGAUGAAAAGAACUUUGGAAAGAGAGUUAUUACAGUACGUGAAAUUGCUCAAAGGGAAACGCCUGAUGUCAGUCGUGUCGCCCGGGGAUCAACCUUGCUUCUCGCUGGGUGUAGUUCCCGGUCGUCGGGUCAGCAUCAGUCUCAGUCGCCGUACAAGGGCGAGGGGAAUGUGGCCCCCUUCGGGGUGUGUUAUAGCCUUUCGUCGUAUGCGGUGGUUGAGACUGAGGACCUCAGCACGGCUUCGGUCUGCUGCUUAGGAUGCUGGCAUAAUGGCCUUAAGCGACCCGUCUCGAAACACGG
rnacentral:rRNA from 1 species